rnacentral:tRNA from 1 species
AGAGGUGUGGCUUAGUGGUAAGAGCAUGAGCUUGGGAGUCAGAAGUCAUGGGUUCUAAUCCCAGCUCCACCA